rnacentral:rRNA from 1 species
UACGAAGGGGGCUAGCGUUGCUCGGAAUCACUGGGCGUAAAGCGCACGUAGGCGGAUCUUUAAGUCAGGGGUGAAAUCCCAAGGCUCAACCUUGGAACUGCCUUUGAUACUGGGGAUCUCGAGUCCGGAAGAGGUUGGUGGAACUGCGAGUGUAGAGGUGAAAUUUGUAGAUAUUCGCAAGAACACCAGUGGCGAAGGCGGCCAACUGGUCCGGUACUGACGCUGAGGUGCGAAAGCGUGGGGAGCAAACAGG